AGAGUUUGAUUCUGGCUCAGGAUGAACGCUAGCUACAGGCUUAACACAUGCAAGUCGAGGGGCAGCAUGAACUUAGCUUGCUAAGUUGAUGGCGACCGGCGCACGGGUGAGUAGCGCGUAUCCAACCUGGCUCUUAGUAGGGGAUAGCCCGGCGAAAGUCGGAUUAAUACCCUAUGUUUUUCCGAGGCGAGCAUUCAAUUUGGAACAAAGAUUCAUCGCUAAGGGAUGGGGAUGCGUCUGAUUAGGUAGUCGGCGGGGUAACGGCCCACCGAGCCGACGAUCAGUAGGGGUUCUGAGAGGAAGGUCCCCCACAUUGGUACUGAGACACGGACCAAACUCCUACGGGAGGCAGCAGUGAGGAAUAUUGGUCAAUGGGCGAGAGCCUGAACCAGCCAAGUAGCGUGCAGGAUGACGGCCCUAUGGGUUGUAAACUGCUUUUGGAGGGGAAUAAAGUGAGGCACGUGUGCCUUUUUGUAUGUACCCUCAGAAUAAGGACCGGCUAAUUCCGUGCCAGCCGCAGC
rnacentral:rRNA from 1 species